rnacentral:tRNA from 5 species
GGGCGCGUGGCGGAAUUGGUAGACGCGCACGCUUCAGGUGCGUGUGAGGCAACUUGUGUGGGUUCGAGUCCCACCGCGCCCA